rnacentral:rRNA from 1 species
GUGUCAGCAGCCGCGGUAAGACGGAGGGGGCAAGCGUUGUUCGGAAUUAUUGGGCGUAAAGGGCUCGUAGGCGGAUCGGUAAGUCUGAUGUGAAAUCUCCACUGCUCAACAGGGAGAGGUCAUUGGAUACUGCCAAUCUGGAGUACGGUAGAGGACCAUGGAAUUCCAGGUGUAGCGGUGGAAUGCGUAGAUAUCUGGAAGAACACCGGUGGCGAAGGCGGUGGUCUGGACCGUGACUGACGCUGAGGAGCGAAAGCCAGGGGAGCGAACGGGAUUAGAUACCCCUGUAGUCC